rnacentral:rRNA from 1 species
GUCGAGUUGUUUGGGAAUGCAGCUCUAAAUGGGAGGUAAAUUUCUUCUAAAGCUAAAUAUUGGCGAGAGACCGAUAGCGCACAAGUAGAGUGAUCGAAAGAUGAAAAGCACUUUGGAAAGAGAGUUAAAAAGCACGUGAAAUUGUUGAAAGGGAAGCGCUUGCAAUCA